rnacentral:rRNA from 1 species
UACGUAGGGUGCAGGCGUUAAUCGGAAUUACUGGGCGUAAAGCGUGCGCAGGCGGUUUGCUAAGACAGGUGUGAAAUCCCCGGGCUUAACCUGGGAACUGCGCUUGUAACUGGCAAGCUAGAGUGUGGCAGAGGGGGGUGGAAUUCCACGUGUAGCAGUGAAAUGCGUAGAUAUCAAGUGGAACACCAGUGGCGAAGGCGAAUCCCUGGAAAAUACCUGACACUGAGGCACGAAAGCUAGGGGAGCAAACAGG